rnacentral:piRNA from 1 species
UGAAGGUGCAAACUCAGGUGAAAUUGA